rnacentral:ncRNA from 1 species
CCGGAGCCGUUCACGUACGGGGCCCGUCCACGUCCGCUUCGGCGGCAGGAUGCAAGGGCCCGCGAUGGACGGCCUGGAUGGAGGUUGCGCCAUG